ACUCCUACGGGAGGCAGCAGUGGGGAAUAUUGCACAAUGGGCGCAAGCCUGAUGCAGCCAUGCCGCGUGUGUGAAGAAGGCCUUCGGGUUGUAAAGCACUUUCAGUUGUGAGGAAGGUGGUGUCGUUAAUAGCGGCAUCAUUUGACGUUAGCAACAGAAGAAGCACCGGCUAACUCCGUGCCAGCAGCCGCGGUAAUACGGAGGGUGCGAGCGUUAAUCGGAAUUACUGGGCGUAAAGCGCAUGCAGGCGGCCUGUUAAGUCAGAUGUGAAAGCCCGGGGCUUAACCUCGGAAUUGCAUUUGAAACUGGCAGGCUAGAGUCUUGUAGAGGGGGUAGAAUUUCAGGUGUAGCGGUGAAAUGCGUAGAGAUCUGAAGGAAUACCAGUGGCGAAGGCGGCCCCCUGGGACAAAGACUGACGCUCAGAUGCGAAAGCGUGGGGAGCAAACAGGAUUAGAUACCCUGGUAGCACAGAG
rnacentral:rRNA from 1 species